AGCAGCCGCGGUAAUUCCAGCUCCAAUAGCGUAUAUUAAAGUUGUUGCAGUUAAAAAGCUCGUAGUUGAACUUCGGGGUUUACCCAUUGGUCAGGCUUAAUUGUCUGCACUGGUGAGAUGAAUCUCUACCUUCUGAGGAACUUUCAUGCCAUUUAUUUGGUGUGAUGGGAAAUCAGGACUGUUACUUUGAAAAAAUUAGAGUGUUUAAAGCAGGCUAACGUCUGAAUACAUUAGCAUGGAAUAAUGAAAUAGGACGGACUGAUUCUAUUUCGUUGGUUUCUAGGAUCACCGUAAUGAUUAAUAGGGAUAGUUGGGGCAUUAGUAUUCAAUUGUCAGAGGUGAAAUUCUUGGAUUUAUUGAAGACUAACUACUGCGAAAGCAUUUGCCAAGGAUGUUUUCAUUAAUCAAGAACGAAAGUUAGGGGAUCGAAGACGAUCAGAUACCGUCGUAGUCUUAACCAUAAACUAUGCCGACUAGGGAUCGGACGAAGUUAAUUUUAUAAUGACGCGUUCGGCGCCUUACG
rnacentral:rRNA from 1 species